UGGCCCCCGGUGUGCUCAAUGAGUCGUCGUGUUCUGUCUCCCUCGAGGUAUGUAUGUUUAGUAGUAGAAAAACAAAAAAAAGAAGAAGAGCAGUAGUGGGGAUCUUGUUUAUGAUGUGGUAACGACCGAAACGACUCGGCCCCGGCUAAGAUAUGAUGAAUGAAUAGGAGGGCAAUGGAACGACCUUCGACCGCGUACUGGAUCCAUUUUGAGCUCACUUCAAGC
ensembl:ncRNA F09G2.13 ncRNA